AUUGAACGCUGGCGGCAGGCCUAACACAUGCAAGUCGAGCGGAUGAAGGGAGCUUGCUCCUGGAUUCAGCGUCGGACGGGUGAGUAAUGCCUAUGAAUCUGCCUGCUAUUAGUUUAUAACGUCCUGAAACGGGCGCUAAUACCGCAUACGUCCUGAGGGAGAUAGUUGGUGAGCUUCGGACCUCACGCUAUCAGAUGAGCCUAGGUGGGAUUAGCUAGUUUGUGGGUUAAAGGCCUACCAAGGCGACGAUCCGUAACUGGUCUGAGAGGAUGAUAAGUCACCUUGGAAGUGAGACAGCGUCAUGAGUACUAAGGGAGGGAGCAGUCGGCAAUAUUGGACAACGGGGGAAAGCAUGAUACAGUGAUGCCGAGUGUGAGAAGAAGGUCUUCGGAUUGUAAAGAACGCCAAGGUGGGAGAAAGGGCAGUAAGUUAAUACCUAGCUGUUUUGACGUUAACAAGAGAAUAAGCACCGGCUAACUUCGUG
rnacentral:rRNA from 1 species